rnacentral:rRNA from 1 species
GGAGGGUGCAAGCGUUGUUCGGAAUUACUGGGCGUAAAGCGCGUGUAGGCGGUCGGGCAAGUCAGAUGUGAAAGCCUUCCGCUUAACGGAAGAAGUGCAUUUGAAACUACCCGGCUGGAGUACGGGAGAGGAGAGUGGAAUUCCCGGUGUAGAGGUGAAAUUCGUAGAUAUCGGGAGGAACACCAGUGGCGAAGGCGGCUCUCUGGUCCGAUACUGACGCUGAGACGCGAAAGCGUGGGGAGCAAACAGGAUUAGAUACCCUGGUAGUCCACGCCGUAAACGAUGGGCACUAGGUGUAGGAGGUAUUGACCCCUUCUGUGCCGAAGUUAACGCAUUAAGUGCCCCGCCUGGGGAGUACGGCCGCAAGGUUA